rnacentral:rRNA from 1 species
ACGUACACUCCUGCGGGAGGCAGCAGUGGGGAAUAUUGCACAAUGGGCGCAAGCCUGAUGCAGCCAUGCCGCGUGUGUGAAGAAGGCCUUCGGGUUGUAAAGCACUUUCAGCGGGGAGGAAGGCGAUACGGUUAAUAACCGUGUUGAUUGACGUUACCCGCAGAAGAAGCACCGGCUAACUCCGUGCCAGCAGCCGCGGUAAUACGGAGGGUGCAAGCGUUAAUCGGAAUUACUGGGCGUAAAGCGCACGCAGGCGGUCUGUCAAGUCGGAUGUGAAAUCCCCGGGCUCAACCUGGGAACUGCAUUCGAAACUGGCAGGCUUGAGUCUUGUAGAGGGGGGUAGAAUUCCAGGUGUAGCGGUGAAAUGCGUAGAGAUCUGGAGGAAUACCGGUGGCGAAGGCGGCCCCCUGGACAAAGACUGACGCUCAGGUGCGAAAGCGUGGGGAGCAAACAGGAUUAGAUACCCGGGUAGUCCC